AGUGAACGCUGGCGGUAGGCCUAACACAUGCAAGUCGAACGGCAGCACAGUAAGAGCUUGCUCUUACGGGUGGCGAGUGGCGGACGGGUGAGGAAUACAUCGGAAUCUACUUUUUCGUGGGGGAUAACGUAGGGAAACUUACGCUAAUACCGCAUACGACUUACGGGUGAAAGCAGGGGAUCUUCGGACCUUGCGCAAUUGAAUGAGCCGAUGUCGGAUUAGCUAGUUGGCGGGGUAAAGGCCCACCAAGGCGACGAUCCGUAGCUGGUCUGAGAGGAUGAUCAGCCACACUGGAACUGAGACACGGUCCAGACUCCUACGGGAGGCAGCAGUGGGGAAUAUUGGACAAUGGGCGCAAGCCUGAUCCAGCCAUACCGCGUGGGUGAAGAAGGCCUUCGGGUUGUAAAGCCCUUUUGUUGGGAAAGAAAAGCAGCAGGUUAAUACCCCGCUGUUCUGACGGUACCCAAAGAAUAAGCACCGGCUAACUUCGUG
rnacentral:rRNA from 1 species